UAACACAUUCUAUAGUAGGAUCAUUUCUAUAGGAAUCGUCACUCUUUGACUCUUCAAAAGAGCCACUGAAUCCAACUUGGUUGAUGAGCCACAGAACCUUUGUACCCCAGAGUGAGAAACAAACCCAAUGGAGGUGACAUCUCUUCCGAAAGGAAGAUGCAGUUUGGUUCCGUAAUCCUAAGCGGUUCGGUCAUCUGUACUGUCCCUUCGCCCAACCCUUACGUUUUGCUGUUUGCGUAUAGAAUUGGUUUGAUGCCCACAGGACUUCGGUCUUGCGGGUGGACGACCUCUUCGACCCCUUCAAAAUGGCGCGAUGAUCUUUACCCAUCUUGUGUACUUCUCUUCGUGGAAGGGACAAGUUUUUAUGGCCUAGGAGUUGAUAUCUUUCGGGACAUCUUCUCUGUUUGGGUCUUGGGUGGGUACAAAUGGCAGUCUGACAAGU
rnacentral:snoRNA from 11 species